AUUGGUUCAACAUUUGUGUAGUGAACAACACGUAAAAGAUUUGUUAAGUAAAAUUUACAUUAUUAUUUUGUUAAAUGUUCUGAGUAUUGCAACAAAUUUGGAGGACUUCGAAUAAGUACUUCCGGUUACAAUCACCAUCAAACUCAUUUAAAUAAAACAGAAUCUUGACUUACUGGCAGCUGCCAACAAAACUCAUUUAACACAAAGUUAAUAACCAUGUGCUGCGGACCGGCCGGCUGGUGCUCAUUCUGUGGCCCUCCAUGUGGCGGACCUUGCUGUCAAAGCUGCUGCGUUGAGAUUACUUGCUCGCCCUGCACCCCCUCAUAUCUACAAUGCUCAUGCUUUUGUUGUGGCUGUUAAAUUGUAGAAAGGAUGAAGGACUUCUCUCUGCGGAACUGCCUAUGGCACAAAGUGAUCCAGUGUGGUGGGAGGCAGAAGAACCGUCUUGCUUAGAACUGCAAUAAUUGACAAAAUAGUAACG